rnacentral:rRNA from 1 species
CCGCGUGAGUGAUGAAGGUUUUCGGAUCGUAAAGCUCUGUUGUUAGGGAAGAACAAGUGCCGUUCAAAUAGGGCGGCACCUUGACGGUACCUAACCAGAAAGCCACGGCUAACUACGUGCCAGCAGCCGCGGUAAUACGUAGGUGGCAAGCGUUGUCCGGAAUUAUUGGGCGUAAAGGGCUCGCAGGCGGUUUCUUAAGUCUGAUGUGAAAGCCCCCGGCUCAACCGGGGAGGGUCAUUGGAAACUGGGGAACUUGAGUGCAGAAGAGGAGAGUGGAAUUCCACGUGUAGCGGUGAAAUGCGUAGAGAUGUGGAGGAACACCAGUGGCGAAGGCGACUCUCUGGUCUGUAACUGACGCUGAGGAGCGAAAGCGUGGGGAGCGAACAGGAUUAGAUACCCUGGUAGUCCACGCCGUAAACGAUGAGUGCUAAGUGUUAGGGGGUUUCCGCCCCUUAGUGCUGCAGCUAACGCAUUAAGCACUCCGCCUGGGGAGAUA